rnacentral:rRNA from 1 species
UUCCGGUUGAUCCUGCCGGAGGUCACUGCUAUUGGGAUUCGAUUAAGCCAUGCGAGUCGAGAGGGUUCGGCCCUCGGCUGACGGCUCAGUAACACGUGGAUAAUCUGCCCUUAGGUGGAGGAUAACCUCGGGAAACUGAGAAUAAUACUCCAUAGAUCUAGGAGGCUGGAAUGCAUCCAGAUCGAAAGCUUCGGCGCCUAAGGAUGAGUCCGCGGACUAUCAGGUUGUAGUCAGGGUAAAGACCUGACUAGCCAACGACGGAUACGGGUUGUGAGAGCAAUAACCCGGAGACGAUAUCUGAGACACGAUAUCGGGCCCUACGGGGCGCAGCAGGCGCGAAAACUUCACACUGUGCGAAAGCACGAUGAGGGGAUCCCAAGUGCUGGUUCGAAAGAGUCAGCUGUUUCAUUGUCUAAAAAACAGAGAGAGUAAGAGCUGGGUAAGACGGGUGCCAGCCGCCGCGGUAAUACCUGCAGCUCGAGUGGUGGCCGCUAUUAUUGGGCCUAAAACGUCCGUAGCCGGUUUAGUAAAUGCCUGGGUAAAUCGUGUAGCUUAACUAUACGAAUUCCGGGUAGACUGCUAGACUUGAGAUCGGGAGAAGCUAGAGGUACUCCUGGGGUAGAGGUGAAAUUCUGUAAUCCUAGGGGGACCACCAGUGGCGAAGGCGUCUAGCUAGAACGAGUCUAACGGUGAGGGACGAAGCCCUGGGGCGCAAACCGGAUUAGAUACCCGGGUAGUCCAGGGUGUAAACGCUGCUUGCUUGAUGUUAGUUGGGCUCCGAGCCCAACUAGUGUCGGAGAGAAGUUGUUAAGCAAGCUGCCUGGGAAGUACGAUCGCAAGAUUGAAACUUAAAGGAAUUGGCGGGGGAGCACAGCAACGGGUGGAGCGUGCGGUUUAAUUGGAUUCAACGCCGGA